rfam:Spinacia oleracea cultivar SynViroflay scaffold47253.con0001.1, whole genome shotgun sequence.
CUGGGAAAUAGCUCGUACUCCCCGAAAUGUUUUUAGGAACAGCGUCGGCAUGGAGUCUUAUAGAGGUAGAGCUACCGAUUGGGUGCGGGGGAGUCAAAUCCUACCAAAUCCAGACGAACUCCGAAUGCUAUCAAAUAUAGCCGGCAGUGAGGCUUUGGGUGCUAAGGUCCAAGGCCGAGAGGGAAAGAACCCAGACCAUCAGCUAAGGUCCCCAAAUUCGUUCUAAGUUGAACUAACGAGGUCCGGUUGCCCAGACAGCUAGGAUGUUGGCUUGGAAGCAGCCAUUCAUUUAAAGAGUGCGUAACAGCUCACUAGUCGAGCGGCCGGGC